rnacentral:rRNA from 1 species
AUUGAACGCUGGCGGCAUGCUUUACACAUGCAAGUCGAACGGUAACAGGCCGCAAGGUGCUGACGAGUGGCGAACGGGUGAGUAAUGCAUCGGAACGUGCCCAGUCGUGGGGGAUAACGCAGCGAAAGCUGCGCUAAUACCGCAUACGAUCUAUGGAUGAAAGCGGGGGACCGAAAGGCCUCGCGCGAUUGGAGCGGCCGAUGUCAGAUUAGGUAGUUGGUGGGGUAAAGGCUCACCAAGCCAACGAUCUGUAGCUGGUCUGAGAGGACGACCAGCCACACUGGGACUGAGACACGGCCCAGACUCCUACGGGAGGCAGCAGUGGGGAAUUUUGGACAAUGGGCGCAAGCCUGAUCCAGCAAUGCCGCGUGCAGGAAGAAGGCCUUCGGGUUGUAAACCGCUUUUGUCAGGGAAGAAAUCUUCUGGGUUAAUACCUCGGGAGGAUGACGGUACCUGAAGAAUAAGCACCGGCUAACUACGUGCCAGCAGCCGCGGUAACAC